UGGAGCAGUGUGAUUGCUGGAGCGAGGGUAGAGCCAUGAAGGGGAAAUUGCUGUGAAACAUGAGUCACCUCCUGCCUGCCUGUGGGCUGAAGGCACUGAGUUGUAUGGCUUCUCCCCUGGCAGGGUGCUGUGGGCUGGUGGGUGACUGUGCUGGAGCCUGCCUGGGUGCUGUGAGAUGCUGUGUAAUAGUUCUGCUAUUCUGUGAUGCUCCAUAAAGCUAUAAAUCUGAGAUGUGCCCAUGCUGAUUCACAUGAUCUGCAGUCGGUAUCUAUCAACAAAGAACUGCUAGUUGCAACUUCAUCUGGCGGAAACCCAGAGCAGUCAAAAGGAAAUGCUUCUCAGAGGGAGUAAAAGAAAAAGAGAUGAGCAGUAGACCAAGCCAGGCUGGAAGGUGACUGACA